AGCAGCCGCGGUAAUUCCAGCUCCAAUAGCGUAUAUUAAAGUUGUUGCAGUUAAAAAGCUCGUAGUUGAAUUUCGGGAUUAGUACGUUGGUCGUGCCUUAGGUACGUACUGGUGUUACUGGUUCCUACCUUCUGACGAACCAUCAUGUCAUUAAUUUGGUGUGGCGGGGAAUCAGGACUGUUACUUUGAAAAAUUAGAGUGUUUAAAGCAGGCUCGCGCUUGAAUACAUUAGCAUGGAAUAAUGAAAUAGGACGUUGACCCUAUUUUGUUGGUUUCUAGGAUUGACGUAAUGAUUAAUAGGGAUAGUUGGGGGCAUUAGUAUUCAAUUGUCAGAGGUGAAAUUCUUGGAUUUAUUGAAGACUAACUACUGCGAAAGCAUUUGCCAAGGAUGUUUUCAUUAAUCAAGAACGAAAGUUAGGGGAUCGAAGACGAUCAGAUACCGUCGUAGUCUUAACCAUAAACUAUGCCGACUAGGGAUCGGAUGAUGUUAUUUUUAAUGACUCAUUCGGCGCCUUACGGG
rnacentral:rRNA from 1 species